AGUUAUUAGGGACCCAGAGAAACAAAUCCAGCUUGAGUAAAGAAAUUCCUUAUUUUUGACAUUUUGGUUUACCUAGUAUCCACACUUGAGCACGGUAUCCUUCUGCUGACAGCCCUACCAGCUACUUCUGGAAAGAAAGAAAAAAAGAGUUGCUUUUGCAUGGCUGGUAAUUAAAAUUUGUUUUCGUACUACAUGCUGAAGUGCAGGGUGUAAUAUCUCAGCUCACUUACAUUUAUGCUGUUAUUUCAGAGUGUCAAAGUGUUCAUGGUGCAAUCAAGAAACAAACUGGCAGAACUGAAGCAAUCUGCUCUGUAGUCGCCUUUAGUUCAAGUUCUCAUUGUCUUGUAAUUAGCUGGAGUGAAUGCAGCUACCCAGCAGCACGCUGUGCACUGUGACAUGCUUUGGAACGAGGCACAGGGCUGGAAAUAAAAGCGCUUCGCUCAGGGUGCCAAAGUGCCUACUGUAGGUGCAACACCGAAAUUCACUUAUUAUAAUCCUUCUUGCCUAAUUAAUUCCAUUGAUAGCCAUUCACGAUCAUCAGCCUUUAACAAAGAUUUUUCUUUCUUUUCCUUUUCUUUUUUUUUAAACUGAAUAGUUUUAUUAGCUUGUUUACUUCAGAACAAUGUGCCAUCUUUGAUUAAACUCCAUGUGGAUUUAUAACUAUGUCCUCCCUAUGUUUCUGUGACCUUUACGGCACAUCUGAUAAAAAUAAAAGGUCACGGAUUCCAAAAGAACCGGUUCUAAUAAUAAUGUCAGGCAGGCUCCCCCGAAAGUGUGUGAUUUUCCUCCCUUCUUUCUUCUCUUUUCUUCUUUUCCUCCCUCUCUCUCUCUCUCUCUCUUUAUUCUGCUGUUUCAAAGUAAGAUGAAAAUUAACAUGAAUAAAAUUAAUGGUUUAAUUUUGCAGGAGAAAGAAGACAGUUUACAGUGCUCCACUGGGGAAAAGGGCUUUUGUCUUUGUUGAUGACCUAAACAUGCCUGCCAAGGAGAAAUAUGGUGCCCAGCCUCCCAUUGAACUGCUGCAGCAAUGGAUUGACCAUGGCUACUGGUUUGACAGGAAAACACUCCGAGUUACACGACUCCCUGUACAGAAAAAGGAAUAAAGGCUUAUACGUUGCAGUGAAUUACAGCAUGAGAAAGGCAAGUCUAUAUGGGAGAGAGGCACAACAUGCAUUUUCAUGUGUUUGUGAAAACACCAUCAGUAUUUAAGCCAACACAAAACGGUUUCAGAUAAAUUUUUAGUUCGUGGUUAUUAAGGACUAAAACAAAAUAAUUUGUCUUUCAGUGAAUGACUGAGGUUAAAAUGCAUUUGAAGAUGGCUUUUCUAGCAUGCAGUCAAUGUUUGGGGGAAGAGUGCGUAAUAGACUCAGACACUUUUCUGCAUGAUUUAUGUUAAUACUGGUUGUUGGAAGACUUCAAAUUCUCUCUUGUUUAUGUCUCAUCUGUCUGAAUUUUAAAGAAGUGCAUUUUGUUUAAGAGCAAUCCCA
rnacentral:lncRNA from 1 species